rnacentral:rRNA from 1 species
GUGGGGAAUUUUGGACAAUGGGCGCAAGCCUGAUCCAGCCAUUCCGCGUGCAGGAUGAAGGCCUUCGGGUUGUAAACUGCUUUUGUACGGAACGAAAAGGUUCUCUCUAAUACAGGGGGCUGAUGACGGUACCGUAAGAAUAAGCACCGGCUAACUACGUGCCAGCAGCCGCGGUAAUACGUAGGGUGCAAGCGUUAAUCGGAAUUACUGGGCGUAAAGCGUGCGCAGGCGGUGAUGUAAGACAGAUGUGAAAUCCCCGGGCUCAACCUGGGAACUGCAUUUGUGACUGCAUUGCUGGAGUGCGGCAGAGGGGGAUGGAAUUCCGCGUGUAGCAGUGAAAUGCGUAGAUAUGCGGAGGAACACCGAUGGCGAAGGCAAUCCCCUGGGCCUGCACUGACGCUCAUGCACGAAAGCGUGGGGAGCAAACAGGAUUAGAUACCCUAGUAGUCC